rnacentral:rRNA from 1 species
AGCAAAUCCGGAAAAUCAAGGCUGAGGCGUGAUGACGAGGCACUACGGUGCUGAAGCAACAAAUGCCCUGCUUCCAGGAAAAGCCUCUAAGCAUCAGGUAACAUCAAAUCGUACCCCAAACCGACACAGGUGGUCAGGUAGAGAAUACCAAGGCGCUUGAGAGAACUCGGGUGAAGGAACUAGGCAAAAUGGUGCCGUAACUUCGGGAGAAGGCACGCUGAUAUGUAGGUGAAGCGACUUGCUCGUGGAGCUGAAAUCAGUCGAAGAUACCAGCUGGCUGCAACUGUUUAUUAAAAACACAGCACUGUGCAAACACGAAAGUGGACGUAUACGGUGUGACGCCUGCCCGGUGCCGGAAGGUUAAUUGAUGGGGUUAGCCGCAAGGCGAAGCUCUUGAUCGAAGCCCCGGUAAACGGCGGCCGUAACAAUAACGGUCCUAAGGUAGCGAAAUUCCUUGUCGGGUAAGUUCCGACCUGCACGAAUGGCGUAAUGAUGGCCAGGCUGUCUCCACCCGAGACUCAGUGAAAUUGAACUCGCUGUGAAGAUGCAGUGUACCCGCGGCAAGACGGAAAGACCCCGUGAACCUUUACUAUAGCUUGACACUGAACAUUGAGCCUUGAUGUGUAGGAUAGGUGGGAGGCUUUGAAGUGUGGACGCCAGUCUGCAUGGAGCCGACCUUGAAAUACCACCCUUUAAUGUUUGAUGUUCUAACGUUGACCCGUAAUCCGGGUUGCGGACAGUGUCUGGUGGGUAGUUUGACUGGGGCGGUCUCCUCCUAAAGAGUAACGGAGGAGCACGAAGGUUGGCUAAUCCUGGUCGGACAUCAGGAGGUUAGUGCAAUGGCAUAAGCCAGCUUGACUGCGAGCGUGACGGCGCGAGCAGGUGCGAAAGCAGGUCAUAGUGAUCCGGUGGUUCUGAAUGGAAGGGCCAUCGCUCAACGGAUAAAAGGUACUCCGGGGAUAACAGGCUGAUACCGCCCAAGAGUUCAUAUCGACGGCGGUGUUUGGCACCUCGAUGUCGGCUCAUCACAUCCUGGGGCUGAAGUAGGUCCCAAGGGUAUGGCUGUUCGCCAUUUAAAGUGGUACGCGAGCUGGGUUUAGAACGUCGUGAGACAGUUCGGUCCCUAUCUGCCGUGGGCGCUGGAGAACUGAGGGGGGCUGCUCCUAGUACGAGAGGACCGGAGUGGACGCAUCACUGGUGUUCGGGUUGUCAUGCCAAUGGCACUGCCCGGUAGCUAAAUGCGGAAGAGAUAAGUGCUGAAAGCAUCUAAGCACGAAACUUGCCCCGAGAUGAGUUCUCCCUGACUCCUUGAGAGUCCUGAAGGAACGUUGAAGACGACGACGUUGAUAGGCCGGGUGUGUAAGCGCAGCGAUGCGUUGAGCUAACCGGUACUAAUGAACCGUAAGGC